CCUUGCAUGCCGUAACAUUGGUAGCCCAUCGCCAUCAUUCAGGAGCUACUCCGUGUCAAGUUCAAGCUCAGAGGAUGACGGGCAAUGCGCAGCUCUUAUCACCUGCUUGGCUCGCCGGGUCACCGUAGCUGCCACUGGGACAGGAACUCCCCGCCUUCAACGCAGUCGAGCUAUGAGCCGGGACCAAGUCAGAAACUGGAAUUUUUGAUCAUGCUAGAGGUGUGAAAGAACUUAUCAGUCUUGUGCGCGAGGGAGAGGAAGAACAAUUCCCCUACUGUAUAUUUGGUUCUUUUAGUACUCGCGUAAAAUUGUCUCUAGUAGCUUGUUUUUGUCUGUGAAUCGGGUUAUUUGCUCCCUUUUCUCUUGUCAACUGUUAGAUCUGUCAAUCUAGUGUGUGUUAUUCUCGAGUUAAACUUCAA